GGGUAAGAUACUAAAUCUCUAAAUUUCCUUUUGAUAAUAAAUAAAUAAAUCAUGAAAGAUACAUAUGAUAUCUUGAGCUAAGGUGUUGUCUUAAACAAUGGAUAUUAAUAAAAAUAUUGAGUUGUGAUAAGGGAUUUUGUAUUUCUACCCAUAAUGUUUCAAUCGAGAAUUAGAGACCCACUUUUAAACUUUUUUUUUUUGAACUGAAAUGUAAAUUUCAUUAAAUUUAGGAGAAGUACAGAAGGUUGGCUAUGGGCCAAGCCCAAACAAGCAAA
rnacentral:misc_RNA from 1 species